ACAGGAGCCGUGGGUUGGCAAUUGGCCCUUCUCCUGUCCUGCCCCCCGUGACAGCUGGGAAAACUGAAACUAGAGCAAGCGACUUCUCCAAGGUUACACUGCUAAUCCCCUACAAGUCCAGGAUUACAACUUCAGUCACCUGACUUCCAGUCCAUUCCAUUUCUAGAGCCAUUCUGUGGGCAAGCUCUGUCACAAACUCUCUGGGAGUGAAGAAUAGAGCUUUUCUUCAUGAGGUCUCCAA